CGGCGGACGGGUGAGUAACACGUGGAUAACCUACCUAUAAGACUGGGAUAACUUCGGGAAACCGGAGCUAAUACCGGAUAAUAUAUUGAACCGCAUGGUUAAAUAGUGAAAGACGGUUUUGCUGUCACUUAUAGAUGGAUCCGCGCUGCAUUAGCUAGUUGGUAAGGUAACGGCUUACCAAGGCAACGAUGCGUAGCCGACCUGAGAGGGUGAUCGGCCACACUGGAACUGAGACACGGUCCAGACUCCUACGGGAGGCAGCAGCC
rnacentral:rRNA from 1 species